GACAACAGGGCGAAGAUGGCUCAGAGUUAGGCUGGAGAGGGGAGGUGUCCCUUCCGCUGCGGCCGUCGGGUUUCUGCUACAUCCCAUUCACCGCCUCCUCCAUCCUUUCCUCCUCGGUGUGAGCAGCAGGACUUGCAUUUGUUCUCGCCUGCCUAGUGUCUUCCAAGGGAUAGAUGCCGUUUCCUCUGCUGGUCUCUGGGGGUGACGGGGGGCGCAGGGGAGCUUCUUGGGGGAAUCACUCCAACUCUGUGGAGCUGGUGGUGCUGCCUGGUGGGGCUCUCUCUUUGCCCGGGACGUGGAACAACUUUCAGCUGGAGGACGAGAGGGAAUAGUGAAGCUAAAGGUUGCUUUUCUCUGCACCGUCCGUUCUUGCUCCCUCUGCUCCAUCACUGGGACCUUGUCAGGCGUUCAUAAAGCAAAAUUUGCCGAACGAGGGUUCGCAGAAAGGUGGGGCAGAGCUCAUCUGACGUGGCAUCAGUGUGAAAGAAAAUGUCUUUAUUUAAAGCCCGUGAUUGGUGGUCUACUAUUCUGGGAGAUAAAGAAGAAUUUGAUCAAGGCUGUUUGUGUCUGGCUAAUGUUGACAAUAGUGGAAAUGGACAAGAUAAAAUAAUUGUGGGUAGCUUUAUGGGAUACCUAAGGAUCUUUAGCCCCCAUCCUGCAAAAACAGGAGAUGGAGCUCAAGCCGAAGAUUUGCUUCUAGAAGUGGAUCUACGAGAUCCAGUACUUCAAGUGGAAGUAGGAAAGUUUGUUUCAGGUACCGAAAUGCUACAUUUGGCUGUGUUACAUUCUAGAAAACUUUGUGUCUACUCUGUCUCAGGAACCUUGGGUAAUGUGGAACAUGGGAACCAAUGUCAGAUGAAAUUGAUGUAUGAACAUAAUCUUCAGAGAACAGCCUGCAAUAUGACCUAUGGAUCAUUUGGUGGUGUAAAAGGUCGAGAUUUAAUUUGCAUCCAGUCUAUGGAUGGGAUGCUGAUGGUAUUUGAGCAGGAGAGCUAUGCUUUUGGAAGAUUUCUCCCUGGCUUUCUUCUGCCUGGUCCUCUUGCCUACAGUUCCCGUACAGAUUCCUUCCUUACUGUCUCUUCCUGCCAACAAGUGGAAAGUUAUAAGUACCAGGUACUUGCUUUUGCAACAGAUGCAGAUAAAAGGCAGGAGACUGAACAGCAAAAACUUGGUUCUGGAAAAAGACUAGUUGUGGAUUGGACUCUAAAUAUUGGAGAGCAAGCCCUUGACAUAUGUAUUGUCUCUUUCAAUCAGUCGGCAUCCUCUGUUUUUGUUCUUGGUGAGAGAAACUUUUUUUGCCUUAAGGAUAAUGGACAAAUUCGAUUCAUGAAGAAGCUUGAUUGGAGCCCAAGUUGUUUUCUGCCAUAUUGCUCAGUUUCUGAAGGAACAAUAAAUACUUUGAUUGGAAAUCAUAAUAACAUGCUGCAUAUUUAUCAAGAUGUGACACUGAAGUGGGCCACCCAACUUCCCCACAUUCCUGUAGCAGUAAGAGUGGGCUGUUUGCAUGAUUUAAAGGGAGUGAUAGUCACUCUGAGUGAUGAUGGUCACUUGCAGUGUUCAUACCUGGGGACAGAUCCUUCUCUGUUCCAAGCUCCAAACGUUCAAUCUCGAGAACUAAACUAUGAUGAACUUGAUGUAGAAAUGAAAGAACUUCAGAAAAUCAUCAAAGAUGUUAACAAAUCACAAGGUGUUUGGCCCAUGACUGAGAGAGAAGAUGACUUGAACGUUUCUGUCGUGGUUUCUCCUAACUUUGAUUCAGUUUCUCAAGCGACCGAUGUUGAGGUGGGAACUGACCUUGUCCCUUCUGUCACGGUGAAGCAGCCAAGAUAUACAACCAUGCAAGUUUCCAUCAUAAUAAAUCCUGUUAAUUGAGAAAAUUUUUCCAUCCGUUCCAAGUGAAUGAAGAUGUGGCUACCUUGAGUAUGUGUGCAUGAUGCGUGACCAUCUAUUCCAGGCAACUAGGUCACACUGCAGAACAGAGUGAUAUUGCAAAAAGCCAAAUUAUCAGUCUACGUGCAACCACCAUUAGAAUUGACUUGUGAUCAGUUCACCUUUGAAUUUAUGACACCAGAUUUGACUAGAACAGUAAGCUUUUCUGUUUAUCUGAAAAGAAGUUAUACACCAUCAGAAUUGGAAGGAAAUGCUGUUGUUUCUUAUUCCAGACCAACAGAUCGAAAUCCUGAUGGCAUUCCGCGAGUUAUCCAAUGUAAAUUUAGACUUCCCCUAAAGUUAAUUUGCCUACCAGGUCAGCCUUCAAAAACUGCAAGCCACAAAAUUACUAUUGAUACCAACAAAUCUCCAGUCAGUCUUCUUAGUCUCUUCCCAGGUUUUGCCAGUCAGUCAGAUGAUGAUCAGGUGAAUGUAAUGGGUUUUCACUUCUUAGGAGGUGCUCGAAUUACUGUUCUUGCUUCCAAAACUUCUCAACGAUAUCGCAUUCAGAGUGAACAAUUUGAAGAUCUUUGGCUCAUAACCAAUGAGCUUAUUCUUCGCCUUCAAGAAUAUUUUGAAAAACAGGGAGUCAAAGAUUUUGCAUGUUCUUUUUCGGGAUCUAUACCCCUUCAAGAAUAUUUUGAGUUGAUUGAUCAUCAUUUUGAGCUACGGAUAAAUGGUGAAAAAUUAGAAGAACUCUUAUCUGAGAGAGCUGUACAAUUUCGGGCCAUUCAACGCCGGCUACUAGCAAGAUUCAAAGAUAAAACUCCUGCCCCUCUUCAACACCUGGACACCUUGUUAGAUGGAACCUACAAGCAGGUAAUUGCUCUAGCAGAUGCAGUGGAGGAAAACCAAGGCAAUCUGUUCCAGUCAUUCACCAGGCUGAAGAGUGCCACCCAUUUGGUGAUUCUGCUGAUCGCGCUGUGGCAGAAGCUUAGUGCUGACCAGGUUGCUAUUCUGGAAGCGGCAUUUCUGCCGCUACAAGAAGACACUCAAGAAUUGGGCUGGGAAGAAACGGUGGAUGCCGCCAUUUCCCACCUGUUGAAGACUUGCCUGUCGAAGAGUUCUAAGGAGCAGGCUUUGAACCUCAACAGCCAGCUGAACAUACCCAAAGACACAAGCCAACUGAAGAAACAUAUCACCUUGCUCUGCGAUAGAUUAUCCAAAGGUGGCCGUCUCUGCCUAAGUACCGAUGCAGCAGCCCCACAGACCAUGGUCAUGCCAGGUGGUUGUACUACAAUCCCAGAGUCAGACCUAGAAGAAAGAUCAGUAGAACAAGACUCUACAGAACUGUUUACCAACCACAGACAUCUCACUGCAGAGACACCCAGGCCUGAAGUUUCACCCCUCCAAGGAGUCUCGGAAUAAUUCAAGUAGAGUUGUUUGGUUGAGAGGAACAUCCCCAUCUCAAGGCCGAACCUGUGUGAACCUCAUGCCAAGCACAGAUAUAGGGCUGGCGCAGGUGCUUCCUAAAGCUCACCUUCCUGGAGAUGACAUGCAUAGAAAGAGGGGUUGGGACUUUUUACUUCACUAGGAGAACUUGUAACACCAUGGGGAAGUCAGCUGAAACUUGUCUUGUUUUGCCAGGAAAGGAAGUAGUUGCCUUUGGUCAUCCAUCUGCUAAUAGUCACAGAAUACAGUGAAAUGACAUAGUUUUGGGUUAGAUUUUAUAAUGCAAAGAUUCAGAUCCAAAAUAAUUUCAUACCCCAUUUUUUCACAGAAUUCUUAUAUAGUAAAUGUAUCAAGUUUAAUAAAGCAUCUCAUUGUCAAAUAAUAUCUUGGAUUUUAUUUAUAAUUAGAGGGAUUUAUGAGUGAUUGCUCUACAUUAUUUCUUCAAAGGAAAGGAAAGGAAUUGAAGACUUUGCUACUCUCUGGUAAGACUUGAAUGUGAUUAUUUUAUAAAUAAAAGAACCACUAUGAAACUUUCAUGUGAUUUGUUCUAUUAAGCUAAACGUGGAAGAAGGGAAGUUUUCUAGUAUUGUAUGAAAAUGUUUAAAUAUUUUCAAGGAAGCUAGUACAUUAACAUCCCCUUUUCAUUACCCCAUUGGGUGGCACCUUUUAAAAAUCCAGGUUAUUAAAGGAUUCACACUUUAUUACAGUUAAAAUUUAAGGUUUUUAUGUGUAAGAAGUGAAAGAAACUUUGCUAAUUUCAAGUUCGAAUUACAGUUGUGAGAUUGAUUUAUUUAAAUAAAAAUAUGCCUUUGCCAGUUU